rnacentral:rRNA from 2 species
UAGAGUGUUUAAAGCAAGCUAACGCUUGAAUACAUUAGCAUGGAAUAAUGAAAUAGGACGUUCGAUCCUAUUUUGUUGGUUUCUAGGAUUGACGUAAUGAUUAAUAGGGAUAGUUGGGGGCAUUAGUAUUCAAUUGUCAGAGGUGAAAUUCUUGGAUUUAUUGAAGACUAACUACUGCGAAAGCAUUUGCCAAGGAUGUUUUCAUUAAUCAAGAACGAAAGUUAGGGGAUCGAAGACGAUCAGAUACCGUCGUAGUCUUAACCAUAAACUAUGCCGACUAGGGAUCGGAUGAUGUUAAUUUUUAAUGACUCAUUCGGCGCCUUACGGGAAAC